AGGGGGAGCCGUUUUUUUUUUCAAACUACUAAAUGCUUAAUCUUGGAAAUGUAUUCAGAAUUUUGCAUGACCAAAAAAGUAAAUUCAGGACAAUAUUUCACCAGAUAUUUUGGUCACCUACCAUACAAUAACUUCUUUUUUCAUCAAACUAAGUACAAAUGGUUCUAGUGGCCACAGCGUACGCCACCAUGGACAUGGAGUGUUAUGAAGUAGUGUGUUGACAUUGGUAGAGCUCACACCAAUUAGUUUACGCUUGUGAAUUAUGCACUGGUUCGACCUAUUUAUUGACGUUUUCCGAGUCGUCUCGAGAAUUUAACCAACUUGCGUUAAGGAUACCAUUUUUAGAGCAGUGCACCUGAAGAAGGAUUAGUUAUGUCCAAAGAAUCUUCCAGAACUACAAAACCAUCGCAUAGCAGAUAUUGAAGAGACGUCAGAAGCAAAUGUCUCUGGAGAGUUUUGUUGUUCGACAGGGGUCCAGUGACUCUCAAGCUGGUCCUAGUACCAGUAAAAAACAAAGUGGGGAAGUAACCCCAGACAGCGCCACUAGAAAACAGAGAAGUAACACCAGAUAGGUUCAAGAUACCUGAAGUCCUUCUGGAUGGGGAUUCCUUUUCCAAGCAUUAACCUCUCCUCCUCCCUCUCCCCUCCUCUCCAUCUUCCAUAUGCUAACAAGUCUUCC